GUUUAAGCAGCCGCGGUAAUACGUAGGGUGCGAGCGUUAAUCGGAAUUACUGGGCGUAAAGCGUGCGUAGGCGGUUUCGCAAGUCCGCUGUGAAAGCCCCGGGCUUAACCUGGGAAUGGCAGUGGAAACUAUGGGACUUGAAUCUGGCAGAGGGGGGUGGAAUGCCACGUGUAGCAGUGAAAUGCGUAGAGAUGUGGCGGAACACCGAUGGCGAAGGCAGCCCCCUGGGCCAAGAUUGACGCUCAGGCACGAAAGCGUGGGGAGCAAACAGGAUUAGAUACCCCUGUAGUCC
rnacentral:rRNA from 1 species